CUGAGGCUCCAGCCCAAGAGCUUCCAGCAUGGGCACAUCCACCCUCAGCAUGGUUGAUUCCUCCACCUUCAGUGAAGCAGAAACCCAAGGUGCCUCCAGCUCCAGUGAACCAGGAACCCCAGACUCCUGAGGCUCCAGCCCAAGAACCCCAAGCAUCGGCCCAGACGUGGCCAGCGUGGUUCAUGCCUCCAGCUCCAGCUCCAGUGACCAAGAAACCCAAGGUGCCUCAGGCUCCAGCCCAAGAGGUUCCUGCAUAAGUUCAGACUCCCCCAGUAUGGGUCAAGAUGCCUCCAGCUCCAGUGACUCAGGCUCCAGCCCAAGAGCCUCCAGCAAGGGUUCAGACACGCCCAACAUGGAUGCUUCCAGCUCCAGUGAACCAGGAACCUGAGGCUCCAGCCCAAGAACCCCCAGCAUGGAAUAACAUGCCCCAGUCCCCAGCGAGCCAGGCACCAGCCCAAACGCCACCGCCUCCGAUGACUCCAUUAGAACCUGUUGGGGGUGGUUUUGGCACUUCCUUCAUGGAGGGUGUCAGUGGAGAGGCUGCCUCUAAUGGUGGCGGUACUGAGGGUCCCUCAUCAGAGAGAGAGCGCUACCUUGUUAUCACAGAGCCCUUGGGUUUUCAAACCCGCUACGUGGUCAAGUCCUUCAAUCGUUAUGUGCGAGGACAAAAGAUCUAUUCCCAAACCACCUACAUCCCUCUAGACUAUCCUCCUGCCUCUGAGCCUGCUCCCGUCCCCACUCUUCCUCUGCCUGAAGCCCAGCUGGACCAAACUGUGAAGGCCAGCUGAGCUUGGGCUUUGUACUCCAAUCUGCAACGAUAUCUGGGCCCUUGUUGCAUUGUGGCUUAAAAAAAAUAAACUUCUUAAAUGUAUGAAA